UCUAAUUGGGUUUCUGAGUGGACGUCCAGUUUAUUGAUUCCCAGCGCUGGAAUUCAAGCAAUCCACUGUGCCAGCCAAAACAACGGCGUUAAGACUGGUGGUGCUCUUCUGCCUGGGAAUCUCCUCCCAUUUACUCUGCACAAAGAGCUGCCGCGCGGAGGCACCGGCAAAACCGCUGUGCUGGCCACAAGAGUCGUGCUGGUGACCUGGGGGGCUCCUCCACUGGGGAUCUUCUGGUCCGUGAGCGACGAAAAUUCAUCUGAAAGUGUGGCGUCCUCUCAUUCUCUGCGCUUUCACUGGGAGCUGCAAUCUCGAGCUGUUAGCGAUCAGCCAUCUUGGAUCAAUCACCAUCUUAGUUUAAACCUCAGCUCUGUGACUUGCUGUGUGCCCUGAGCCUUAUAGGGUUGCAUAUAUUAAAUGAGUUAACAUACACAACGAGUUUGGAACAAACAGUGCCUGGCAUGUUAUAAAUGCUUUAUAAGUCCCAAGCUGAAUUCAUUUUUAUUAUUAUUACCAUCUAAUGAAGAUGAACAAGAUAGAAAGGGAUACAACAGAUAGUAUAUGUUUAUAUUUACUUUCUUUAUUUCCACAUUCCAGCUUCUUCCAACAUAUUUCCAAUUGUGGAAUAGACCUUUAUCAAUGACAAAUUUGUAAUAAUUUACAAUUACAAAGCAAUCAUUACAAUAGUGACUAUUUCUCUUAAAUUCAUGGUCUUUGAAUGCAAGAGUAAGGUUUGCUUCUCUUAUACUUUGUUCAUAUUAUAGAUUUGCAAGAAAGCUUCUUGGAUAUAAUAAGGCCAAUUUCCAAAGCAAAGGCAGUCUUAUUUGGCUGCAUUUAAUCUGGUUUGUGUGAUAUCAGACAAUCUGACAUACCAACAGAUGAAAGGCACACUCCUGUCUCUUUAGGAAACAAUAUACUCACUGAAUUUUAUUUCUUUUCUAGCUUUGUUUCAAAUGUUGAGAAAGAACUAUUUUUGGAUUAUUUUUUAAAAACUGUAUAUUUGAGAAAAGUUCUACCACCUUUGUUAAUACUCUGUACCUGUAGCAGAAAGAAAAUGGGUGGGGGUGGGAAGAAGGGGAAAAUGUAUAUGUAGCAGAAUGACAAAGAGAAUGUUUGAAGAUAGUUAAUAAUUUGUAAGUUCAUCUAAUCAUUCACUUUUCAAUGACCCUUUUGAAAACAGCAUACAUCAUAUCUAUUCAACAAUGAUCUCAAGAAAUUCAAAUUACAAAUAUACUUACACAAUAGCCAAAGUAUUUUAUCUCCUCAUGACUCAUGAUUAAUUGGUUCAUUCAUUCUUUCUGUUAAUACUUAUUUAAUGAACAUCUAAUAAUAUGCCAAGCACUGUGAAUACCCUGGUGAAAAGGGAAACAUAGUCCUCACUUUGAUAGCAUUCAUAUUGUAUUGGGAAAGAUGAUACAGAGAUAAGCAGUCACUCAGUUACCAUUUUGAUGCAUACUACAUACAAAUUAUAGGAUAUUAUGAGAUAUACUAUCAAAACAUGCUUCCUUUUUUUUUCUUUUUAGAGACAGGUUCUUGCUCUGCUGUCCAGGCUGGAAUGCGGUGGUAUAAUCAUAGCUCACUGAAGCCUUGAACUUCUGGGCUCAAGCGAUCCUUCAAUCUCAGCUUUCUGAGUAAGCUGGGACUACAGACACAUGCCAUGACACCCAGCUAAUUUAUUUUUUGUAGAUAUGGGACCUCACUUUGUUGCGCAGGAU
ensembl:lncRNA